AUGCUCGAUUUCAAGCAGCAUCAAUUUGUUAGUUACAGAGUCUUCUCCGGAAAUAGGAAAACUUUGCGAAGGAAAACAAAAGACUACAGAGUCAAAACAAAGCAGAAUCGGCUACUAGCUCCAGAGCGCGAACUCAGUUGCCCCCUCGGCCUCGCCGCACUCUCCGUUAUCCCAGUACGCGCCGGUGCCGGUCGCCACCGGAGGCGGGUCCAUGAGCAGCGCCUCCGCGAGGCUCGCGUAGUACGAGCCCAAGUCCAUUUCCGGGAACAAGUCAUGCCUACUGAACAUUUCGAUGUCCAUUCCGCCCGGCACCGCGAAGUCUCCAUGGGCGGAAGGUUUCGACGUCUCCGACGAACCGGCAUCGUCAGACUCAGACGACGAUUCUGCAGGAGCGCCACAGGAGGCCUCCUCGGCGGCGGUGGCGGUGAUGGACCCACCGGCAGCCUCCCGUCGCUGCAAAUCAGCGACGGCCUCGACCGCCGCGCGCCGGACGUCGGCGAGAUCGGAGUGCGCGGACGGCACGGCGAGCAGCCACGCGGAGUCCGGGAAGUUGAGGCGCGCGGCGGAGCGGCCGCCCAGGGCAAGCAUGGCGGCGUCGUUCGCGCGCGCUGCGAUCUCAGCCGUGGCGUACGUCCCGAGCCAGAGCCUCGCGCCGCGCUUGCCGGGGACGCGCACCUCGCAGACCCACCGUUCCGCGUUGCCCCGGCGCCGCACGCCGCGAUACACCGGGUGCCUUGUCUCGCGGAACUUGGUGCGCCCCGCCGGGCGCUUGGCCGCCGACGCCCGCCCCGGCGCGUUCUCGUUGGAAGAGGAGAGGGAGGAGCUCGGGAUCUCAAGGCCCAUGCCCAUGGCAACCGGCAGAGCGAUCGGUGCUUCCUUUCUGAGCAGUCGAGCUUGGUGGUGCUUGAGCUUGGUGAGAAGUGUGAGCUUGAGUGA
rnacentral:rRNA from 1 species